rnacentral:rRNA from 1 species
UACGUAGGGUCCGAGCGUUGUCCGGAAUUAUUGGGCGUAAAGGGCUCGUAGGCGGUCUGUUGCGUCGGGAGUGAAAACUUACAGCUUAACUGUGAGCGUGCUUUCGAUACGGGCAGACUUGAGGCAUUCAGGGGAGAACGGAAUUCCUGGUGUAGCGGUGAAAUGCGUAGAUAUCAGGAGGAACACCGAUGGCGAAGGCAGGUCUCUGGGCUGACACUGACGCUCAUGCACGAAAGCGUGGGGAGCAAACAGG